rnacentral:piRNA from 1 species
UGCACCAUUUCAGAACAUGUCCUUUUGCCA